GGGAGAGGAAUAGCUUUGUGUGGUGCCUCUUACAAUUAUCAGCCACUUCUAAUGGCACAGCUGCUGUGCGUCUUCAACCAACUGUGCAAGGAAGCCUUUUAGCGUAUAUUGGAAAAGUUUAAUGCAGAUACUUAGUCAACUCCAGUCUCUCAGCACAGCUGUCAGUACAGAUUCAGAAAUGGGUCAGGUUCAUCCUGUUAAAUGUUGAAUUCCAGAAGCUGGAUGGGUUAUCAUGAAGGUACAAUAUUGCACAGUAUUUCAUGGCAAGAGAAAAGCAUACAGGUGUCUCCACUGCACAGUAGUCUCUUAUGAAGCCCUGUGUGACUGAGGAACGCAAUGAGAAAACAGAAGUGGAAGAGUGCUUCAGCAGCUUGUCUAAGACCACAGAGGUUAUUUGUAUCAGAACCAGGUUCAGCAGCUCUCCCAGCUUUCAGCCCAAGGCUCUGUUCAGAUUUUUUCCCUGUACCCACUUUGAUCCAUAAACUGAAGUAUCAGUCUCUCAUUUCUGCUGCUGUAAGUACCACCGUUCUUGUCUCUACUUGCAUGAGUGUGUUCAUCUGGACAGAACAAGGUCCUGAUGGGAAUUUACUCCGAACACUGGACUAGGUUUGUUCAUAUGUCAAGGGAUGGGGGCCAGGGUUGGCACGGAGUACUUUGGCUGGGCAUGUCAUUAUAAUUGUAGCAGGAAUCUGUCUAUCUUGGACAUAUUAAACUACUGUGGUUUAUCAAAUAUGAUAUUCUGCUUUGACCUUUGGCUUUCCCCCAUUAGAUUUUUAAUCGAUUGGCUGGCUAAUUACAGAC